rnacentral:rRNA from 1 species
GGGUUGUGAGGUUAAGCGACUAAGCGUACACGGUGGAUGCCCGGCAGUCAGAGGCGAUGAAGGGCGUGCUAAUCUGCGAUAAGCGCCGGUAAGGUGAUAUGAACCGUUAUAACCGGCGAUACCCGAAUGGGGAAACCCAGUGUGAUUCGUCACACUAUCAUUAACUGAAUCCAUAGGUUAAUGAGGCGAACCGGGGAACUGAAACAUCUAAGUACCCCGAGGAAAAGAAAUCAACCGAGAUUCCCCCAGUAGCGGCGAGCGAACGGGGAGGAGCCCAGAGCCUGAAUCAGCAUGUGUGUUAGUGGAAGCGUCUGGAAAGGCGCGCGAUACAGGGUGACAGCCCCGUACACAAAAGCGCAUGUGCUGUGAGCUCGAUGAGUAGGGCGGGACACGUGGUAUCCUGUCUGAAUAUGGGGGACCAUCCUCCAAGGCUAAAUACUCCUGACUGACCGAUAGUGAACCAGUACCGUGAGGGAAAGGCGAAAAGAACCCCGGCGAGGGGAGUGAAAAAGAACCUGAAACCGUGUACGUACAAGCAGUGGGAGCACAGGUUUACCUGUGUGACUGCGUACCUUUUGUAUAAUGGGUCAGCGACUUAUAUUCUGUAGCAAGGUUAACCGUAUAGGGGAGCCGGAGGGAAACCGAGUCUUAAUUGGGCGUUAAGUUGCAGGGUAUAGACCCGAAACCCGGUGAUCUAGCCAUGGGCAGGUUGAAGGUUGGGUAACACUAACUGGAGGACCGAACCGACUAAUGUUGAAAAAUUAGCGGAUGACCUGUGGCUGGGGGUGAAAGGCCAAUCAAACCGGGAGAUAGCUGGUUCUCCCCGAAAGCUAUUUAGGUAGCGCCUCGUGAAUUCAUCUCCGGGGUAGAGCACUGUUUCGGCUAGGGGGCCAUCCCGGCUUACCAACCCGAUGCAAACUGCGAAUACCGGAGAAUGUUAUCACGGGAGACACACGGCGGGUGCUAACGUCCGUCGUGAAGAGGGAAACAACCCAGACCGCCAGCUAAGGUCCCAAAGUCAUGGUUAAGUGGGAAACGAUGUGGGAAGGCCCAGACAGCCGGGAUGUUGGCUUAGAAGCAGCCAUCAUUUAAAGAAAGCGUAAUAGCUCACUGGUCGAGUCGGCCUGCGCGGAAGAUGUAACGGGGCUAAACCAUGCACCGAAGCUGCGGCAGCGAACGUAUCACCCAAGACAACUUUACGAGUUGACGAUUGACGGAGCGAAGCGACGUCAAAGCGUUCAUUAAAGUCGAGUUGGCUUAGGGAUACGUUCGUUGGGUAGGGGAGCGUUCUGUAAGCCUGUGAAGGUGUGUCGUGAGGCAUGCUGGAGGUAUCAGAAGUGCGAAUGCUGACAUAAGUAACGAUAAAGCGGGUGAAAAGCCCGCUCGCCGGAAGACCAAGGGUUCCUGUCCAACGUUAAUCGGGGCAGGGUGAGUCGACCCCUAAGGCGAGGCCGAAAGGCGUAGUCGAUGGGAAACGGGUUAAUAUUCCCGUACUUGGUGUUACUGCGAAGGGGGGACGGAGAAGGCUAUGUUGGCCGGGCGACGGUUGUCCCGGUUUAAGCGUGUAGGUGUGUGUUCCGGGUAAAUCCGGUUCACUUUAACACUGAGGCGUGACGACGAGGCACUACGGUGCUGAAGCAACAAAUGCCCUGCUUCCGGGAAAAGCCUCUAAGCAUCAGGUAACAUCAAAUCGUACCCCAAACCGACACAGGUGGUCAGGUAGAGAAUACCAAGGCGCUUGAGAGAACUCGGGUGAAGGAACUAGGCAAAAUGGUGCCGUAACUUCGGGAGAAGGCACGCUGACACGUAGGUGAAGUGAUUUACUCAUGGAGCUGAAGUCAGUCGAAGAUACCAGCUGGCUGCAACUGUUUAUUAAAAACACAGCACUGUGCAAACACGAAAGUGGACGUAUACGGUGUGACGCCUGCCCGGUGCCGGAAGGUUAAUUGAUGGGGUCAGCGCAAGCGAAGCUCCUGAUCGAAGCCCCGGUAAACGGCGGCCGUAACUAUAACGGUCCUAAGGUAGCGAAAUUCCUUGUCGGGUAAGUUCCGACCUGCACGAAUGGCGUAAUGAUGGCGGGCUGUCUCCACCCGAGACUCAGUGAAAUUGAACUCGCUGUGAAGAUGCAGUGUACCCGCGGCAAGACGGAAAGACCCCGUGAACCUUUACUAUAGCUUGACACUGAACAUUGAGCCUUGAUGUGUAGGAUAGGUGGGAGGCUUUGAAGUGUGGACGCCAGUCUGCAUGGAGCCGACCUUGAAAUACCACCCUUUAAUGUUUGAUGUUCUAACGUGGACCCGUUACCCGGGUUGCGGACAGUGUCUGGUGGGUAGUUUGACUGGGGCGGUCUCCUCCUAAAGAGUAACGGAGGAGCACGAAGGUUGGCUAAUCUGGUCGGACAUCAGGAGGUUAGUGCAAUGGCAUAAGCCAGCUUGACUGCGAGCGUGACGGCGCGAGCAGGUGCGAAAGCAGGUCAUAGUGAUCCGGUGGUUCUGAAUGGAAGGGCCAUCGCUCAACGGAUAAAAAGGUACUCCGGGGAUAACAGGCUGAUACCGCCCAAGAGUUCAUAUCGACGGCGGUGUUUGGCACCUCGAUGUCGGCUCAUCACAUCCUGGGGCUGAAGUAGGUCCCAAGGGUAUGGCUGUUCGCCAUUUAAAGUGGUACGCGAGCUGGGUUUAGAACGUCGUGAGACAGUUCGGUCCCUAUCUGCCGUGGGCGCUGGAGAACUGAGGGGGCUGCUCCUAGUACGAGAGGACCGGAGUGGACGCAUCACUGGUGUUCGGGUUGUCAUGCCAAUGGCACUGCCCGGUAGCUAAAUGCGGAAGAGAUAAGUGCUGAAAGCAUCUAAGCACGAAACUUGCCCCGAGAUGAGUUCUCCCUGAGACUUAGAGUCUCCUGAAGGAACGUUGAAGACGACGACGUUGAUAGGCCGGGUGUGUAAGCGCAGCGAUGCGUUGAGCUAACCGGUACUAAUGAACCGUGAGGCUUAACCUUGCAACGCCGAAG